GACGAACGCUGGCGGCGUGCCUAAUACAUGCAAGUCGAGCGGAUUUCAAGGAGCUUGCUCCUUGAUUUCAGCGGCGGACGGGUGAGUAACACGUGGGCAACCUGCCUUUAAGACUGGGAUAACUUCGGGAAACCGGAGCUAAUACCGGAUAAUCCUUUUCCUCUCAUGGGGGGAAGCUGAAAGACGGCGUAAGCUGUCACUUAUAGAUGGGCCCGCGGCGCAUUAGCUAGUUGGUGAGGUAACGGCUCACCAAGGCGACGAUGCGUAGCCGACCUGAGAGGGUGAUCGGCCACACUGGGACUGAGACACGGCCCAGACUCCUACGGGAGGCAG
rnacentral:rRNA from 1 species